CCUUCCGUAGGUGAACCUGCGGAAGGAUCAUUACCGAGUGAGGGCCCUUUGGGUCCAACCUCCCACCCGUGUUUAUUUACCUCGUUGCUUCGGCGGGCCCGCCUUAACUGGCCGCCGGGGGGCUCACGCCCCCGGGCCCGCGCCCGCCGAAGACACCCCCGAACUCUGCCUGAAGAUUGUCGUCUGAGUGAAAAUAUAAAUUAUUUAAAACUUUCAACAACGGAUCUCUUGGUUCCGGCAUCGAUGAAGAACGCAGCGAAAUGCGAUACGUAAUGUGAAUUGCAAAUUCAGUGAAUCAUCGAGUCUUUGAACGCACAUUGCGCCCCCUGGUAUUCCGGGGGGCAUGCCUGUCCGAGCGUCAUUGCUGCCCUCAAGCCCGGCUUGUGUGUUGGGCCCCGUCCUCCGAUUCCGGGGGACGGGCCCGAAAGGCAGCGGCGGCACCGCGUCCGGUCCUCGAGCGUAUGGGGCUUUGUCACCCGCUCUGUAGGCCCGGCCGGCGCUUGCCGAUCAACCCAAAUUUUUAUCCAGGUUGACCUCGGAUCAGGUAGGAUCCCC
rnacentral:rRNA from 1 species